rnacentral:rRNA from 1 species
AUUGAACGCUGGCGGCAUGCCUAACACAUGCAAGUCGAACGGUUUAUGGAGCUUGCUUCAUAGAUAGUGGCGGACGGGUGAGUAAUAUGUAGGAAUCUGCCUUGAGGAGGGGGAUAACUUGGGGAAACUCAAGCUAAUACCGCGUAAGUCGGAGACGAGAAAGCAGGGGACCGAAAGGCCUUGCGCCUUAAGAUGAGCCUACAUCGGAUUAGCUAGUUGGUGGGGUAAAGGCCUACCAAGGCGAUGAUCCGUAGCUGGUCUGAGAGGAUGACCAGCCACACUGGGACUGAGACACGGCCCAGACUCCUACGGGAGGCAGCAGUGGGGAAUAUUGGACAAUGGGCGAAAGCCUGAUCCAGCCAUGCCGCGUGUGUGAAGAAGGCCUUCGGGUUGUAAAGCACUUUAAGCGAGGAGGAAGGUUCGUCACCUAAUACGUGACGGAAUUGACGUUACUCGCAGAAUAAGCACCGGCUAACUCUGUGCCAGCCGCCGCGGUAA